UACGUAGGGUGCAAGCGUUGUCCGGAAUUAUUGGGCGUAAAGGGCUCGUAGGCGGUCUGUCGCGUCGGGAGUGAAAACUCAGGGCUUAACCCUGAGCCUGCUUCCGAUACGGGCAGACUAGAGGUAUGCAGGGGAGAACGGAAUUCCUGGUGUAGCGGUGAAAUGCGCAGAUAAUCAGGAGGAACACCGGUGGCGAAGGCGGUUCUCUGGGCAUUACCUGACGCUGAGGAGCGAAAGUGUGGGGAGCGAACAGG
rnacentral:rRNA from 1 species